UGUAGGGUGUCAUGGGGCUCUGGUCUAUAGUAGUGCACUAUAUAGGGAGUAGGGCUCUGGUCUAAAGUAGUGCACUAUAUAGGGAGUAGGGUGUCAUGGGGCUCUGGUCUAAAGUAGUGCACUAUAUAGGGAGUAGGGUGGAGUAGGGCUCUGGUCUAAAGUAGUGCACUAUAUAGGGAGUAGGGUGUCAUGGGGCUCUGGUCUAAAGUAGUGCACUAUAUAGGGAGUAGGGUGCUAUAGGGCUCUGGUCUAAAGUAGUGCACUAUAUAGGGAGUAGGGCUCUGGUCUAAAGUAGUGCACUAUAUAGGGAGUUGGGUGCCAUAGGGCUCUGGUCUAAAGUAGUGCACUAUAUAGGGAGUUGGGUGCCAUAGGGCUCUGGUCUAAAGUAGUGCACUAUAUAGGGAGUUGGGUGCCAUAGGGCUCUGGUCUAAAGUAGUGCACUAUAUAGGGAGUUGGGUGCCAUAGGGCUCUGGUCUAAAGUA
ensembl:lncRNA